GGCGGCUUGGCGGAGUGGUUAACGCGAUAGACUAGAAAUCUAUUUCUUUCGGGAGCGUAGGUUCAAAUCCUGCAGCCGUCG